rnacentral:lncRNA from 1 species
AAUAUAUACAUGCACGUUACAACGAUGAUAAAUAGACCAUUAAUUUAUAAUUCAUAAAAAUGUAAUUUAAUUUAGUCAGUAAGCAUGCAACGUGCCUCAAAUGGUAGGAAAGAAUCAAUCGAUUCAGAAGUCAGAAGUUAAGAUGCAUUAAACUGCAAUAAUUAGGUCGAAAAAAUCGCAAGAUGGCGGAAUACUGUUUCUGGUCAAAAUAUCUCUAAAACUAAACAAGAUAGAAAAGAAUUGUAACGGGUCUUCAUAGUUAUAUCGUUUUAAAAGUUCGUUGAAGCGAGAAAAAAUUAAUUUUUAUUGUCACUUCCCUUUAAGUGUAGCGGUGCACACCAUGUGCGCGACCUUCAACAAGUUCAGGUUUUCACCAACUUUUGGUAAUCAUCAGCUUCGCGUUUGCUUAGAUCCAGCGGCUCGUAGUCUGGCAGGUUCUUUCCCAUAUUCACGUCUUCGUACGACUCUCUUCUCUCGUGAGCUGAUAUAACAUAAUCUGAGUCUUGCGUUACUGUGUCUAUGUUCUUAUACGUAUCGUUUCCCAUUGCAUUUCCAACCUCUUCGUGAU